UACAUAAAAGAGGGUCAAUGUCUAUACAUGGAUCCAUUUGGGGCAACAACGGAACAACUCCUUCACUGUAGGGAUGUAACAAGAGCACUAGUACGAAGGCACAAUGCUGCCAUUGGGAGGUGGACCUGCUCCACAGUCCCUCACCCCAAACAGCAGGACACAACGUCAUGUGGCAUCUUUGUGUGCAGGCUCCUCCAAAAUGACGCCCCGGAGGAAGAAGAAAGAGGAGCCAGAGUGGGUCAAGAUUCUGAGGCAGGUGACUGAGAGGGAUGAAGAGAGGGAGAGGAUCUGUACGGAGAGGGAGCACAGGAGGGAGAGGGAAGCACUGGAGAGAGAGGAGAGGAAGGAGAAGGAGCAGCU